rnacentral:rRNA from 1 species
AACUUUCAACAAUGGAUCUCUUGGUUCUGGCAUCGAUGAAGGAACGCAGCGAAAUGCGAUAAGUAGUGUGAAUUGCAGACUUUAGUGAAUCAUCGAAUCUUUGAACGCACAUUGCGCCCCUUGGUAUUCCAUUGGGCAUGCCUGUUCGAGCGUCAUUU